rnacentral:rRNA from 1 species
AUUGAACGCUGGCGGCAUGCCUUACACAUGCAAGUCGAACGGUAACAGGUCUUCGGACGCUGACGAGUGGCGAACGGGUGAGUAAUACAUCGGAACGUGCCCGAUCGUGGGGGAUAACGAGGCGAAAGCUUUGCUAAUACCGCAUACGAUCUACGGAUGAAAGCGGGGGAUCUUCGGACCUCGCGCGGACGGAGCGGCCGAUGGCAGAUUAGGUAGUUGGUGGGAUAAAAGCUUACCAAGCCGACGAUCUGUAGCUGGUCUGAGAGGAUGAUCAGCCACACUGGGACUGAGACACGGCCCAGACUCCUACGGGAGGCAGCAGUGGGGAAUUUGGGACAAUGGGCGAAAGCCUGAUCCAGCCAUGCCGCGUGCAGGAUGAAGGCCUUCGGGUUGUAAACUGCUUUUGUACGGAACGAAAAGCCUCUUUCUAAUAAAGAGGGGUCAUGACGGUACCGUAAGAAUAAGCACCGGCUAACUACGU